rnacentral:rRNA from 1 species
GACGAACGCGGCGGCGUGCUUAACCCAUGCAAGUCGAACGAAAGCGACGGAAGCUGGUUCUUUCAUUCUUAGGGCGAAGGGGGGGUACGCGUAUUCACCCGGCCCUUCAGAGGGGGACACCAGUGGAAACGACUGCUAAUACCGCAUACGAUCUAAUCUCGGGCAUCGAGGAUAGAUGAAAAGGUGGCCUCUACAUGUAAGCUAUCACUGAAGGAGGGGAUUGCGUCUGAUUAGCUAGUUGGAGGGGUAACGGCCCACCAAGGCGAUGAUCAGUAGCCGGUCUGAGAGGAUGAACGGCCACAUUGGGACUGAGACACGGCCCAGACUCCUACGGGAGGCAGCAGUGGGGAAUCUUCCGCAAUGGACGAAAGUCUGACGGAGCAACGCCGCGUGAGUGAUGACGGCCUUCGGGUUGUAAAGCUCUGCUAAUCGGGACGAAAGGCCUUCUUGCGAA